rnacentral:rRNA from 1 species
CCCUUCGAUAGUCUGGGCGGCACGCGUGCUACAAUGAAUGGCGGAGCGUGUGACAUUUCAUAAAUGAGUAGUGAAUCACCGAAACCAUUUCGUGUCUGGGAUAGUUUUUUGCAAUUCUCGAACUUGAAAGAGGAAUCCCUUGUAAAUACGCUAAAGAACAGCGUUUUGAAUACGUCCCUGUCAAAUGUACACAGCGCCCGUCGUUUCUUCCGACUGACACCUACGAUGAAUUACGGGGAUUUGAGGAGAACCGUUGUAAAUCUUGGGUGUUGGAGGAAGAAAAAGUCGUAACA